rnacentral:rRNA from 1 species
GGGGGGGGGGGGGGGGGGGGCGGGGGGGGGGGGGGCGGGGGGGGGCGGGGGGGGGGGGGGCUGGUGGGGGGGGCGGGGGGCGGACGGGGGGGGGAGGCAGCGGCGUGGGCUUGUGCGGGGGGGGGAGCGGCGGGACCCUUACGCUCAUACCGCAUACGACCUACGGGUGAAAGCAGGGGCUCUUCGGACCUUGCGCGAGUGACGGACCCGAGGUCGGAUUAGCGAGUUGGCGGGGUAAAGGCCCACCAAGGCGACGAUCCGUAGCUGGUCUGAGAGGAUGAUCAGCCACACUGGAACUGAGACACGGUCCAGACUCCUACGGGAGGCAGCAGUGGGGAAUAUUGGACAAUGGGCGCAAGCCUGAUCCAGCCAUACCGCGUGGGUGAAGAAGGCCUUCGGGUUGUAAAGCCCUUUUGUUGGGAAAGAAAAGCAGCAGGUUAAUACCCCGCUGUUCUGACGGUACCCAAAGAAUAAGCACCGGCUAACUUCGUG